CAAUAAGCAAAUGAAGUAAAAUGUUGGCAGUAGCAUCAUCCAAGACUACUGCUGUGGCUAUGGCAGCGAGAAUUUACUUUAGUAUGUCUGUAGCUGUUGGCUGCUUUGAUUGCGGACAGCAUGUACGAGAAAUCAAAAGGAAAAGUGAAGAGGAGAGAGAAUACUGACAAGAGGGGAGAUGGCAGGACAAAUAUCCUAGGAGUCCUGCUUUCCAUGAUCAGCUAAGUAUACACAGGUGAAGCAUCCAAAAAAUGUUCAAUAAAAAUGUUUAAAAGCAACUCAUUAGG
rnacentral:lncRNA from 10 species